UACGAAGGGGGCUAGCGUUGCUCGGAAUUACUGGGCGUAAAGGGCGCGUAGGCGGAUCGUUAAGUCAGAGGUGAAAUCCCAGGGCUCAACCCUGGAACUGCCUUUGAUACUGGCGAUCUUGAGUAUGAGAGAGGUAUGUGGAACUCCGAGUGUAGAGGUGAAAUUCGUAGAUAUUCGGAAGAGCACCAGUGGCGAAGGCGACAUACUGGCUCAUUACUGACGCUGAGGCGCGAAAGCGUGGGGAGCAAACAGG
rnacentral:rRNA from 1 species